rnacentral:rRNA from 1 species
UACGAAGGGGGCUAGCGUUGCUCGGAAUCACUGGGCGUAACGCGCACGUAGGCGGAUUGCUAAGUCAGGGGUGAAAUCCUGGAGCUCAACUCCAGCACUGCCUUUGAUACUGGCGACCUUGAGUCCGGGAGAGGUGAGUGGAACUGCGAGUGUAGAGGUGAAAUUCGUAGAUAUUCGCAAGAACACCAGUGGCGAAGGCGGCUUACUGGUCCGGUUCUGACGCUGAGGCGCGAAAGCGUGGGGAGCAAACAGG